UACUAGCGGUCCAAGUCGCAGCCACAUUUAUUGGGUCUAGAACAUCCGUAGCUUGCUUAAUAAGUUUCUUGUGAAAUCCUGUGUCUCAAGCAUAGGGCGUGCAAGAAGUACUGUUUAGCUAGAGACUGGAAGACGUAAGAAGUACGUUCGAAGUAGCGGUAAAAUGUGUUAAUCUCGGACGGACUCACAAUAGCGAAGGCAUCUUACGAGGACAGUUCUGACAGUAAGGGAUGAAGGCCAGGGGCGCAAAACGGAUUAGAUACCCCUGUA
rnacentral:rRNA from 1 species